rnacentral:rRNA from 1 species
GACGAACGCUGGCGGCGUGCUUAACACAUGCCAGUCGAACGGAAAGGCCCUGCUUUUGUGGGGUGCUCGAGUGGCGAACGGGUGAGUAACACGUGAGUAACCUGCCCUUGACUUUGGGAUAACUUCAGGAAACUGGGGCUAAUACCGGAUAGGAGCUCCUGCUGCAUGGUGGGGGUUGGAAAGUUUCGGCGGUUGGGGAUGGACUCGCGGCUUAUCAGCUUGUUGGUGGGGUAGUGGCUUACCAAGGCUUUGACGGGUAGCCGGCCUGAGAGGGUGACCGGCCACAUUGGGACUGAGAUACGGCCCAGACUCCUACGGGAGGCAGCAGGGGGGAAUAUUGCACAAUGGGCGGAAGCCUGAUGCAGCAACGCCGCGUGCGGGAUGACGGCCUUCGGGUUGUAAACCGCUUUCGCCGGUGACGAAGCGUGAGUGACGGUAAUGAGUAAAGAAGCACCGGCUAACUACGUG